CCUACGGGAGGCAGCAGUGGGGAAUAUUGCACAAUGGGGGGAACCCUGAUGCAGCGACGCCGCGUGAGUGAAGAAGUAUUUCGGUAUGUAACGCUCUGUGAUGGGGGAUGAACACAAUGACGGUACCCCAAUAGCAAGCCACGGCUAACUACGUGCCAGCAGCCGCGGUAAUACGUAGGUGGCAAGCGUUAUCCGGAAUGACUGGGCGUAAAGGGUGCGUAGGUGGUUUAGUAAGUUGGCGGUGUAAUUCCGGGGCUCAACCUCGGCGCUACCGCCAAAACUAGUAGACUAGAGUGCAGGAGGGGUAAGUGGAAUUCCUAGUGUAGCGGUGGAAUGCGUAGAUAUUAGGAGGAACAUCAGGGGCGAAGGCGACUUACUGGACUGUAACUGACACUGAGGCACGAAAGCGUGGGGAGCAAACAGGAGUAGAUACCCCGGUAGUC
rnacentral:rRNA from 1 species